rnacentral:rRNA from 1 species
UACGUAGGGAGCAAGCGUUGUCCGGAAUCAUUGGGCGUAAAGCGCGCGUAGGUGGCCCCGUAAGUCCGCUGUGAAAGUCAAAGGCUCAACCUUUGAAAGCCGGUGGAUACUGUGGGGCUAGAGUACGGAAGAGGCGAGUGGAAUUCCUGGUGUAGCGGGUGGAAUGCGCAGAUAUCAGGAGGAACACCAAUAGCGAAGGCAGCUCGCUGGGACGUUACUGACACUGAGGCGCGAAAGCGUGGGGAGCGAACAGG